rnacentral:lncRNA from 1 species
GCUAGUAUUGGUUGGUACAUUAACAUGCUGCUUAGGUGAGCAUUAUAAUGAAGGUUGAAGCAACAGAGUAAACUCACAUCUUCCCCCCAACUUUUUGUUCAGUGCAUCUUUCAGAGCCCUAUAACUGAAUGUUGGUAAGAAAGCUGCAGCAUGGUAAGGUUGGAAGUUUCAGAAAGUACCUGAAGCUUGGUUGUCUGCUCUCAGUUCC